AACGUUAAAAUUCGAGAACAGACCUAGAGCGAAAGAAACCCACGCACGGCUCAACAGGUCACGGACUGAAGGUACAGACUGAAGGUGUGUUUUCUUGUCUCCGCUUGCCCUGUUACCGACCUAUUGAGUGGAAACGUGAAGAACAUAACAUGAAGACGAUGAGACGUCUCUUGGUUGGGGUCAUCAUUGUCCUCAUAGCCGGAAUGGCAGUUGAGGUGGCAGGUUCUAGGUGUAGAGCGGACGGCGACUGCGAGCCUGACGAAUGCUGCACGGCGUACCGUACGUGCAAGCCGAAGAUUAGGGAAAAGGGUAUGUGCCACCUCCGCUCACUCCAUAUCUAUGCUGGACAACAUUGUGGCUGCGAUGAUGGGCUCAAGUGUCAACCCUUGUCCGGCAUGGCUGCGCUUUUCGCGGGAGGGUUUGGGUGGGGAAGGUGCACCAGGUGAAGAAAGAGGGAAUGGUCCGGUUGCGGUGUCCCUCAUCGUGCUUGGGCGAACUUCGAAAAAGUGGAGUUCCCGACCAACAGUCGAUUCUAUAGACGCGAAACAUGAUGGACUGCUUGCAAGGCUGAACAAUACCUUCAGUUUAUUGCCAGAUAACCGACAUCCCGGCCCCAUCAGUGCACAGCUAGAAAAAUAUUUGAACUGGAUACCAGAAACUCUGAAAGAAGCAUCUAUAGCUAACAUCAAGGAAUUAUCAUAUCAUAAUCAACGCAUUUUCCGCUCCGUGAAUACUGGAUAUUGAAAUAAAAUUGCAGCAGUUGCAUGGACAA